GCCGGGUGCGGUGGCAUGUGCCUGUAAUCCAAGUCACUGGGAGGCUGAGGUUGGUGGAUCAAGUGAGCUGAGGAGCUCUGGGCUGCAGCACGCUAUGUCGAACGGGUGUCCACGCUAAAUUCGGUAUCGAUAUGGUGUUCCUGGGGGAGCCCGGGACCACCAGGUUGUCUAAGGAGGGGUGAACCGGCCCAGGUCGGAAACGAAGCAGGUCAAAUCCCCCGUGCUUUUCCAGUAGUGGGAUAAUACAUGUGAGUAGAUGCUGCAGUGCAGCCUUGGCAAAACAUUCGAGACCUAAUCUUUU
rnacentral:SRP_RNA from 1 species